CAUUUUCCCCUUCCCAUCGCUUGUUCUCUUCCUCUGCAUCUCGUCGACACUGUCGUCGCCGUGCACUGCUCGAUCCCACGGCCACUGGCACCCCCGAGCGCCGAGACCUUGACUACAAGGUGCACCGCCCACUUCUUCUUCCUCCUGGACCACCAGCUAGAGCCGGGAAGCUCUCCUCCGCCGGAUCGCCUCGCUCCACCAUCGUGGGCAUCGCCGCUGCCGCUGCCUCGACCUGCAACAUCGGCGCCCCCCAACCUCUCCAAGCACGCCCCGACCUCACUACACCGAGACCGACGCCGCUGCUACCCAGUACGACUACGGUGUUGACGACCCCUCUCUCUUGCCAGAGCAACCAGACGUUGGAGUCCAAGAGCUAGAUGCCACCAUUGACGAUGACUCCUACUACACUGGAGGUGCCUACCACUACGUGCAGCCCGCUGUCGAUGACCAGGAGUAGUUUAGGAGGAUCCCAGGCAGGAGGCCUGCGCCUCUUUCAAUCUGUA